CUACACUGACACACGCARCGAGUCUUCCUUGUCCGAAAGGUCCGGGUAAUCUUGUAAAUGUGUGUCGUGAUAGGGAUAGAUUAUUGCAAUUAUUAAUCUUGAACGAGGAAUUCCUAGUAAAUGCGAGUCAUCAGCUCGCGUUGAUUACGUCCCUGCCCUUUGUACACACCGCCCGUCGCACCUACCGAUUGAAUGAUUCGGUGAAAAUUCCGGACUGUGGCUCGGAUGCCUUCGGGCAACCUUGCUGUAGGAAGUUAUUUAAACCUCAUCAUUUAGAGGAAGGUGAAGUCGUAACAAGGUUUCCGUAGGUGAACCUGCGGAAGGAUCA
rnacentral:rRNA from 1 species